rnacentral:piRNA from 1 species
UCAACUUACUGUGGAACUGCCGUUUUGAUU